CCAUUUGGUAUGAUUUCAACCGGAGAACCAAAAAUCAAAACCCAGAUAUAACAGAAAACUCCUCAAAUCAAAUACUAAUCCUAACCCCAUCUCAAAAUCAAAUCCCAUGUAUCUUAUCUAAAAGAGAACCCCUCUUUUGUAACCCUAGAUUUAGUUUAUUUGCUCCCAAAAUCAAUAUCAAACCCUCAUCUUAUUUAAGCUCGGUCGUUUACUGUAUGAGAGGGAGAUUACUAAUCCUGCAUAUCUAAACAACUCUCAUCACUAAAUCACGCAUGAUUUCAAACCUAAUCAUAACCGAUCUAAGAAUCAAAACCCAUCUCAGAAACAGAACCAUAUUCCUUUAACAUCCCCUAAUUUUGUAACUCUUGAUCUAGUUAAUUUUUCUCUUCCAAUCUAAGCAAACCUUCAUCUCAUAUUUGAUAGAGUUGAAGGGUACAAGAAGAAAACUUCAGGUGUUGGUCGUGUGGUUAGUGCUACAGAUUUUUGGGUUUAGUUGGUGGUGGUGGUGCAUCAUUUGUUCGAUGUUUGUGAUGAAACAUCUGUUAUGAAAAUGGCCAUGUGCUCAGUAUCCUUCCCAUCCUUCUCGUGGUAUCCCAAGUGCUAUUAGUCGCCUAUCUACCUUGCUGAAAGAGCCGUCAGCCGUGUCUUAAUUUGUGCAAGCCUAUGGAGUGAAGCUGCUAAAUACCAAUGAUUUCCCCAACAACCUCAUAGAAAUAUG